rnacentral:rRNA from 1 species
GACGGAGGGGGCUAGCGUUGUUCGGAAUGACUGGGCGUAAAGGGCGCGUAGGCGGUUUUUUAAGUGAGGCGUGAAAGCCCUGGGCUUAACCCAGGAGGUGCGUUUCAUACUGUAAGACUUGAGUACGAGAGAGGAAAGUGGAAUUUCUAGUGUAGAGGUGAAAUUCGUAGAUAUUAGAAAGAACACCAGUGGCGAAGGCGGCUUUCUGGCUCGUAACUGACGCUGAGGCGCGAAAGCGUGGGGAGCAAACAGG